rnacentral:rRNA from 1 species
GCAACUCGAGUGCAUGAAGCUGGAAUCGCUAGUAAUCGCGGAUCAGAAUGCCGCGGUGAAUACGUUCCCGGGUCUUGUACACACCGCCCGUCACACCAUGGGAGUCGGGAAUGCCCGAAGCCGGUGGCCCGAUCGAGAGAAGGGAGCCGUCGAAGGCAGGCCGGAUGACUGGGGUGAAGUCGUAACAAGGUAGC